GACCCGUCUUGAAACACGGACCAAGGAGUCUAACAUGUGCGCGAGUCAUUGGGUGUCAAACCUAAAGGCGGAAUGAAAGUGAAGAUCGGCUCGACCGAUUGAUAUGGGAUCCGUUCGGUCACGGCCGAGCGGCGCACCAUAGCCCCGUCUCGACUGCUUGCAGUGGGGCGGAGGCAGAGCGUACACGUUGGGACCCGAAAGAUGGUGAACUAUGCCUGAGCAGGGCGAAGCCAGAGGAAACUCUGGUGGAGGUCCGAAGCGGUUCUGACGUGCAAAUCGAUCGUCAGACUUGGGUAUAGGGGCGAAAGACUAAUCGAACCAUC
rnacentral:rRNA from 1 species